AGCUCCCGGAACCAGGAACCAUAGGAACGGUUAAACUGUAGUUGACAACCUGGUGGAGGCUGAGUGUGGACCAACUUGAGGGUCCAAACUCUUGUGGGGUGGGGGCCCUUGGUGGGCUCACCUCCAGGAGCCCAGCUGUAAAGACCAGAGAGAGUCCGCUGUGCUUGGGAAACGUCACGGGAAUGGGAUGGGCCCUAGGUGGGGGCUCACGUCUCUCUUCUCCUUCACCUGGUGACCUUUGCUCCUCUCCAGAGAGACACAGAGGAAACAUAACUGCACGUCGCUAGGUGGAAGAAGGCAACGUGAAGGAUCCCACCGGCGUGACCUUCUGGAAAGGGUCACACUACAGACAUAGCCAAAGGAAAACCAGUGUUUGCCACGGGGCGGAGGGGAGGCAGGGAGGGAUGCGUAGGGAGAGCACAGAGGGUCUUUAGGGCAGUGAAACUAUAUGAGGCUAUACAAUGGGUGCGUGCCAUCACACGUUUGUCCAAACCCACAGAGUCCACACCACCAAGAGGGAGCCUAAUAUAAACGGUGGGCGUCAGUUAGGAAUAAUGAAGUAAUGCUCAUCCAUUCGUUGGAACAAAUGUGCCCCAUGCACUGGAGAUGCUCAAAGAAGGGGAACUGUGUGGGGGGAGGGGUAUAGGAGAACUCUAAAUCUGUACCAUCUGCUCAAUUGUUCUGGAAACUGAAGACUAUCCUAAAAAAUAAUAUCUGUG